GGCGGAUCGCGCCGCAGCGGCGCGGCGGCGCGCUUGAGCCGCGUGGUGCGCGUUCGUGUCGCGCGAAUCGGUU
rnacentral:tRNA from 1 species